GCAAGUCGAACGCGAAAUUUUUUCUUCGGAGAAAAGAGUAGAGUGGCGCACGGGUGAGUAACGCGUAAGUAAUCUACCCUGGCAUCUGGGAUAACCCACCGAAAGGUGUGCUAAUACCGGAUACGUUGGAAACAAGAAAGGUGGCCUCUAUUUAUAAGCUACUGUGCUGGGAGGAGCUUGCGUACCAUUAGCUAGUUGGUAGGGUAAUGGCCUACCAAGGCGACGAUCAGUAUCUGGUUUGAGAGGACGAUC
rnacentral:rRNA from 1 species